GAGGUCAAGAAGAAGAUGUGCCUUCCGCCGAGGCCCUCACCAUCGUGCUUCCUGGUGUUUUGAGCGCCUGUGUCACCGUGGCUAGCUACGCCCGCACCAUCGCAUUCUUUUCCGCGUGUGUGUCGCUCUUCCUGCUCAACCCAGGGUGCUCCCAUCCUCCUAGCGUGUAAGGAGGCCGCUAUUGCCCACGCCGUCCAGCGUGAAUGUUGCUGUGGAGAAAUGUUGCGAGUGUUUCAGA